GGUAAAGUGUCUCCAUGGUAGAGAGCUUGCCUCACAUGCAUGAGGCCCUGGGUUCAAUUCCUCAGCACCA
rnacentral:tRNA from 1 species